AGAGUUUGAUCAUGGCUCAGAUUGAACGCUGGCGGUAGGCUUAACACAUGCAAGUCGUGCGAGAAAGCAUCUUCGGGUGCGAGUAGAGCGGCGGACGGGUGAGUAACGCGUAGGAAUCUACCUAGUAGAAGGGGAUAGCCCGGGGAAACUCGGAUUAAUACCGUAUACCUCCUUAGGGAGAAAGAGGGCUUAGCUUUGAUGCUCUCGCUAUUAGAUGAGCCUGCGUAAGAUUAGCUUGUUGGUGAGGUAAUGGCUCACCAAGGCGACGAUCUUUAGCUGGUCUGAGAGGACGAUCAGCCACAUUGGGACUGAGACACGGCCCAGACUCCUACGGGAGGCAGCAGUGGGGAAUAUUGGACAAUGGGCGCAAGCCUGAUCCAGCCAUACCGCGUGUGUGAAGAAGGCUUUCGGGUUGUAAAGCACUUUAAGUAAGGAGAAAAAGAUUGUAGUUAAUACCUGCAAUCCGUGAUGUUACUUACAGAAUAAGGACCGGCUAAUUCCGUGCCAGCAGCCGCGGUAAUACGGAAGGUCCAAGCGUUAAUCGGAAUUACUGGGCGUAAAGCGCGCGUAGGUGGUUUUUUAAGUUGGAUGUGAAAGCCCUGGGCUCAACCUAGGAACUGCAUCCAAAACUAGAUGACUAGAGUACGAAAGAGGGAAGUAGAAUUCACAGUGUAGCGGUGGAAUGCGUAGAUAUUGUGAAGAAUACCAAUGGCGAAGGCAGCUUCCUGGUUCUGUACUGACACUGAGGUGCGAAAGCGUGGGUAGCGAACAGGAUUAGAUACCCUGGUAGUCCACGCCGUAAACGAUGACAACUAGCUGUUGGGAGACAAGAUCU
rnacentral:rRNA from 1 species